GCAGGUUCUGGAAUCCGAGUGAAAGUGAAUUUGAAAAUAAACCUCAAUCCGUGUGAAUUUGGAUUUGGUGUUCUGAAAUCCGAACUUUUUGUUCAUUUUAGAACUCGUUUUUGAUUCACCGCAAAAAUGAACUUAACAGCUGAGAGCUGUCAAUUUACCCAAAAUAAAUAACAAUCUUUUAAAAAAAAUGAGUGCAUUAGCAAUAUUGGCGGUUAUUUUACGUGAAAAUGAAAGGAAUACAGAAGAAGUUUACAGUAGGAGGAUACUACGGGACCAUCGCAACCCAUUGGAUGUGCCUGAACAAGUUUUCGUGUCGAACUAUCGCGUCAACAAGGAUGCGUUUCUUGAAUUGUUGAACGUUGUUGCUCCACAUAUAAAGGGCUCAUCAAUUCCUGCGCAACUACAACUGGCAGCCACACUGAGGUUUUUGUGCGGAAGGUGGCUUCCAAAAGGCAGUGGGAAAGGAUGUUUGCAUAGCAAUGGGUCGGAGCACAGUUGCAAAAGUCAUAAAACGUGUGUUGAACAUUUUGGAAAAACAUAUUUGCCCAAGGUGGAUCAACUUUAUUAUGACAACAGAAGAGCAGAAUCAAUCAAAAAUACAUUUCCAUCAAAAAAUUUGGUAUUCCCGGUGUUAUUGGUUGCAUCGACGGUACCCACAUACGAAUUACAAAGCCGCAUAAGGACCCCAACCUAUUUUACAACAGAAAUGGAUUUUUUAGCAUCAAUACCAUGAUUAUAUGUAUGUGAUUAUAAUAUGGCAAUAAAGGCAGUUGAUGCUCGCCGACCUGGCUCGAUUCAUGAUGCCCUUAUUUGGAGUGUAAGUAGUGCUCGUUCAUACUUUCAAUCCUGCUACGAAAAUGGCAUACGUGGCUCUGGGCUUUUGGGUGAUGCUGGGUAUGCUCUUCAACCUUAUUUGUUCACUCCAUUCAGAGAUCCCGAAAUUGGGACACCUCACUACAUAUUUAAUCAAAGGCAUUCUUCGGCUCGCAAUGUUGUAGAGAGAACAAUUGGCGUUUUAAAAAACCGGUUUAGGUGCUUAGCUCGGUGUCUUCAAUACCAGCCAUAAAAGGUGGCGCAAAUAACGAAUGUUUGCUGCGCUUUGCAUAAUGUUUGCAAACAUUACAAAGUGCAAGAAUUAGUUGUGUCAGAUCUUGUUCCCGAAGAAAAUGAACUUGCGAGUUUUGAAAUAGUAAACGAUGCCAUACCUGACAGUGAAGCUGCAAUCAUUAGAGAGGAAAUCGCGAAUCGCCUUCACUCACAAAGUUAAAAAAACAUAAAUCAAAACAAUA